GAUGAACGCCGGCGGCGUGCUUAACACAUGCAAGUCGAACGAGAGAAGAUCGGUGCUUGCACUGAUCCGAUCGAGUGGCGGACGGGUGAGUAACGCGUGGGUAACCUGCCGCAUACAGGGGAAGAACAGUUGGAAACGGAUGCUAAAACCGCAUAAGCGCACAGUAUCGCAUGAUACAGUGUGAAAAACUCCGGUGGUAUGAGAGGGACCCGCGUCUGAUUAGCUAGUUGGGGAGGUAACGGCGCACCAAGGCAACGAUCAGUAGCCGGCCUGAGAGGGUGAACGGCCACAUUGGGACUGAGACACGGCCCAAACUCCUACGGGAGGCAGCGGUGGGGAAUAUUGCACAAUGGGGGAAACCCUGAUGCAGCGACGCCGCGUGAAUGAUGAAGUAUUUCGGUAUGUAAAGCUCUAUCAGCAGGGAAGAUAAUGACGGUACCUGACUAAGAAGCACCGGCUAAAUACGUGCCAGCCGCCGCGGUAA
rnacentral:rRNA from 1 species